AUUGAACGCUGGCGGCAGGCUUAACACAUGCAAGUCGAACGAUGAUUAUCUAGCUUGCUAGAUAUGAUUAGUGGCGGACGGGUGAGUAACAUUUAGGAAUCUGCCUAGUAGUGGGGGAUAGCUCGGGGAAACUCGAAUUAAUACCGCAUACGACCUACGGGUGAAAGGGGGCGCAAGCUCUUGCUAUUAGAUGAGCCUAAAUCAGAUUAGCUAGUUGGUGGGGUAAAGGCCCACCAAGGCGACGAUCUGUAACUGGUCUGAGAGGAUGAUCAGUCACACCGGAACUGAGACACGGUCCGGACUCCUACGGGAGGCAGCAGUGGGGAAUAUUGGACAAUGGGGGCAACCCUGAUCCAGCCAUGCCGCGUGUGUGAAGAAGGCCUUUUGGUUGUAAAGCACUUUAAGCAGGGAGGAGAGGCUAAUGGUUAAUACCCAUUAGAUUAGACGUUACCUGCAGAAUAAGCACCGGCUAACUCUGUGCCAGCAGCCGCGGUAAUACGGAGGGUGCGAGCGUUAAUCGGAAUUACUGGGCGUAAAGCGAGUGUAGGUGGCUCAUUUAAGUCACAUGUGAAAUCCCCGGGCUUAACCUGGGAACUGCAUGUGAUACUGGUGGUGCUAGAAUAUGUGAGAGGGAAGUAGAAUUCCAGGUGUAGCGGUGAAAUGCGUAGAGAUCUGGAGGAAUACCGAUGGCGAAGGCAGCUUCCUGGCAUAAUAUUGACACUGAGAUUCGAAAGCGUGGGUAGCAAACAGGAUUAGAUACCCUGGUAGUCCACGCCGUAAACGAUGUCUACUAGCCGUUGGGGUCCUUGAGACUUUAGUGGCGCAGUUAACGCGAUAAGUAGACCGCCUGGGGAGUACGGCCGCAAGGUUAAAACUCAAAUGAAUUGACGGGGGCCCGCACAAGCGGUGGAGCAUGUGGUUUAAUUCGAUGCAACGCGAAGAACCUUACCUGGUCUUGACAUAGUGAGAAUCCUGCAGAGAUGCGGGAGUGCCUUCGGGAAUUCACAUACAGGUGCUGCAUGGCUGUCGUCAGCUCGUGUCGUGAGAUGUUGGGUUAAGUCCCGCAACGAGCGCAACCCUUUUCCUUAUUUGCCAGCGGGUUAAGCCGGGAACUUUAAGGAUAUUGCCAGUGACAAACUGGAGGAAGGCGGGGACGACGUCAAGUCAUCAUGGCCCUUACGACCAGGGCUACACACGUGCUACAAUGGUAGGUACAGAGGGUUGCUACACAGCGAUGUGAUGCUAAUCUCAAAAAGCCUAUCGUAGUCCGGAUUGGAGUCUGCAACUCGACUCCAUGAAGUCGGAAUCGCUAGUAAUCGCAGAUCAGAAUGCUGCGGUGAAUACGUUCCCGGGCCU
rnacentral:rRNA from 1 species